CUGAGAAGAGAUGAUGCCAACCCCUCAGAGGACCUCAGAUGAUGCCAACCCUGAACCAACAUAUAGAACUACCAAAUUUACCUUACAUUACUAUAAUUUUCAUUGCAUCAAAUAGUAAUU